CUUAGAGAACACGGGAAAGUUGUGCCGCCUUUCCCCUCCACUGCCGCAAGCACAGGAGAAAAUUCUAUGGGAAUAGCCAGCGUCAAAAAACCUUUGACGGCUCCUAGGAACCCACGCGGGCCUGCCUCUCCCCCACCCCACCCCACCCCCCGCCCGGGGCUUGCUCUGCUGGGGGCGAGAGGAGGCGGGAGGGAAUCGUUCCUUUCACUUGAAGCCCACACCAGCUCUGAAGCCAAUUUCCGCCACUGACUGUCCGAGGAGAGCUGGGUGACCAACAUUUUCGCAGGCCGCAUAACUGCGCGGGGCUUGGAUUGGAAAUUGGAUGCGCCGAGGGGACAAGGGCCCGGCGCCAGAAAGCCCCGUGGGGAACGCGCCUAGAAGGACCGAUCGACCAGGGUGGGCUCCUGCCCUUUCCCAGGCUGCCCCGGGGCGUCUGGGGACUGGCCGGAGCGCAGGGGCGGGGGACACUUACUUCGUUAUCCGCACGUCUUCCUCGUUGGCAUCAGAGCCGGACAAAUCCCAGCCCGCGCCAGUCAAAGAUAAAUUCCUCCUGGCUCCCCCAGCGGCUCCAGGGGCCUGGGCGGGGGCGGAGCGGUGAGGAGACCGUCGGGCCGCCUAAGGCAGGGGCAGUGGAGGUCGUGCUCCCAUCCUCAAAUGAACGAGCCCCUGCAGCCCGGACAGCGAGAUGCGUCCCAGGGAGACGGCUGAUUGGGGAAAGGUGGUGGGCGACUAGUCCGCGUUAGACGAAAUCGACUUUCAACCACGGGGUAACAAGGCAAAGAGGGAAAGAAAACGAAACGCCAAAGAAGCCGCCGCUACCUCCCCGCCCCCACCCCGGGGCGGCCGGGAUGGGAGCCCAGAGUCGCGUUCCGGACCCGCUGCUUUUUCUGUCGGGAAACACUGAGCCAGGAAGAAGAUGGUCGGUCCCAUCUCCAAAUCUCGGGCCCAAGGUGGUGGCGAAGAAACCCACGGCCUCGACUCGUCAUCGCGGCCCCGUCACCCCCAAGCCCGGGUCAAGGCCCGUGUCCCAGACCUGAGCUGAGGCGUCCUCUCCCGACAGCGCCACCGCGUGGGCUGCGGCCCGAACCUGCGGCGCCGGUUCAGUCCGCUGCGUCCCGGAGCCGGCCUUACACGUCGCCCCAAGUCCUCGGGUUCAGAACGCGGCGGGGCAGGGGCAGGUCCCCGGCCCCGGGCACAACCGGACCACCCAACACAAAAACGCGGCCGGCAGACAGAACACCGGCGCCCUCAGUUUGCCCCAACUCCUUGUAAUGAAAAGUACACCUGGAAAGCCCAGGCCGCGGCGCCCCACCCGAACCCCAAACUCCAGGCAGGCCGGCCCGCGUCGUGAAAUCCGCGCCCACCCCUAGCUGGGGCGAGCGAGCCCAGGAAGCCGAAUCCGAGGCAGCCCAAGGCCAAGCGGCUCCAGGAGCGUUUCGCGGCUCUGGGCCCACGCCGGUCUCGAACCGCGCCAGAGAGAGCGAGAGCGCUUGCUGCGAGACCCAAGGUCCCAGGCACUUACUGGGACCGAGGACCAAGCGGGUGUCGGUCUAUCCGGCGGCCCAAAGCCGUCCGGAGUGGCGUGGAACCUGGAGGGCUUUCUGGGCUGGCAACUCGCCAGUUCUCUCGGUCUCACGAACCCCAAAGCCCACUCUCUCAGUCCGGCAAGGCUUGACCCUCGGGCUAAGGCCCAGGCAGCGUUAGUGUCCUGGGGCUCUGUUCACAGUGCCCUGGGGCUCGGUUCUUCCCCACCCCGCGAUGCGUUGCCUCCGAGCCCAGAGGCUAAGCCCCGCCGAACCGGGCAUCACCUGGCGCUGCCCGGACGCUACGUCAGGACUCCAGAGCCACCACGUCGGGCUUAGAGGACUUUAGUGGGUAGGCUGGGGCUUAUCUUAAAUUCAAUUGUUCCCCGUGCGCGCGCUAGUGCGCACACACACGCACAGACGUUUUGAGACUGUCAGUUAUGAAAAGGGACAACGACGCAAAGGUGGAAAUUCACCUGGUCCCCACCCUGUUACAAAGCUCCCAGCCCCACACAAAAGAGGAGCGAGCCCUGGACGCCCAAGCGGCCGCUCGGGAGGCGUCCAGAAGCUGCACUCUCGCGGGGCGCCCGGCCAGCCGCGCCAGUUCGCGCGCUCCAGCCCCGGCCGGUGCCCAGCGGCGCCCUAGGGAAGCUGCGCCGGCCUGCUGAGUUCCGGGGCUGGGCGUCCGCCUGGCCUGCUCAUCCACGCCUCAUCACCUGUCUCUGAAUUCUAAUUUCUGAAAUCUAAUCCCCGUAGGCCACGCGGAGCUGUCUCCAAGCGGGCCCGGCCCGGCACCCCUGCCAAGUGGCUCACCUCUGCUUACGGCGCCUGCCUUUACCCCCGGUGCCAAGGACCGAGCGAGUGGCGGCAGGUCAGGGCGCAAACGCCGUCUGCUCUCCUCCAGGAGUAGACAGCGGGAGCCUGCGGCGUCGCUCGUCCGGCCCUGGGGCUGAUUUAAAUAACUAAUAAGCUCAGAGACAUUUUACAAGGGGAACUUUUCCUUUUAGUAUCAAUAAAGCCUAGUAAUUGGGUUUGUUGGUUACCUAAGCUCGAGUUUCCCAGUCUCUCUCUCUCUCUCUCUCCUUCUUACUCUCUCUUUCCCUCUCUCUCUCUCUCUCUCUCUUAUUCAGAAGCAACGUUUUAAAAAACCGGCAACUGUGGGUGCGUUUGUGUCGGGUGUGCGAGUGUGUGAAAGAAGUUGUUUCAAAAGUCCUUUUCCUGGAGAACAAUCAUCAUUGUCGUUCUAUGGUGAAGAGUUUUGAAAGGUGAACUGUUGUUAUUUCAGAGGAGGAAAAUGUUAACAACAAUUCAAGUCUCACAAUACACGUAUAAUAUAAGAAGGGCAGGGGUCCUUAAGAUUUUUCCCUUUGAAUGUGACAAAGACUUUUGCAGUGCUUCCGUAAUAGUUUGCAUUUUAAUUAAGUCUCUCUACAUUUUAACUUCAACUCCUAGAUUUUAAUGAUAUCUGUUGUUUUCAGUAAAGACUUCUAUACUAUAA